rnacentral:rRNA from 1 species
AGCGCAGGUGGUUGUAUAAGUCUGAAGUAAAAGGCAGUGGCUCAACCAUUGUGUGCUUUGGAAACUGUACAACUUGAGUGCAGAAGGGGAGAGUGGAAUUCCAUGUGUAGCGGUGAAAUGCGUAGAUAUAUGGAGGAACACCGGUGGCGAAAGCGGCUCUCUGGUCUGUAACUGACGCUGAGGCUCGAAAGCAUGGGUAGCGAACA